rnacentral:rRNA from 1 species
UACGUAGGGUGCAAGCGUUGUCCGGAAUUAUUGGGCGUAAAGGGCUCGUAGGCGGUCCAUCGCGUCGGGAGUGAAAAGCUGGGGCUUAACCCCAGUCCUGCUUCCGAUACGGGUGGACUAGAGGUAGGUAGGGGAGAACGGAAUUCCUGGUGUAGCGGUGAAAUGCGCAGAUAUCAGGAGGAACACCGGUGGCGAAGGCGGUUCUCUGGGCCUUACCUGACGCUGAGAAGCGAAAGCAUGGGGAGCGAACAGG